CGCGUAGGCGGUCUCUUAAGUCAGAUGUGAAAGCCCGGGGCUUAACCUCGGAAGUGCAUUUGAAACUAAGGGACUUGAGUAUGGGAGAGGGAAGUGGAAUUCCUGGUGUAGCGGUGAAAUGCGUAGAUAUCAGGAGGAACACCGGUGGCGAAGGCGACUUCCUGGACCAAUACUGACGCUGAGGCGCGAAGGCGUGGGGAGCAAACAGGAUUAGAUACCCUGGUAGUCC
rnacentral:rRNA from 1 species